rnacentral:rRNA from 1 species
GACGAACGCUGGCGGCGUGCUUAACACAUGCAAGUCGAACGGAAAGGCCCUGCUUUUGUGGGGUGCUCGAGUGGCGAACGGGUGAGCAACACGUGAGUAACCUGCCCUUGACUUUGGGAUAACUUCAGGAAACUGGGGCUAAUACCGGAUAGGAGCUCCUGCUGCAUGGUGGGGGUUGGAAAGUUUCGGCGGUUGGGGAUGGACUCGCGGCUUAUCAGCUUGUUGGUGGGGUAGUGGCUUACCAAGGCUUUGACGGGUAGCCGGCCUGAGAGGGUGACCGGCCACAUUGGGACUGAGAUACGGCCCAGACUCCUACGGGAGGCAGCAGUGGGGAAUAUUGCACAAUGGGCGGAAGCCUGAUGCAGCAACGCCGCGUGCGGGAUGACGGCCUUCGGGUUGUAAACCGCUUUCGCCUGUGACGAAGCGUGAGUGACGGUAAUGGGUAAAGAAGCACCGGCUAACUACGUGCCAGCAGCCGCGGUGAUACGUAGGGUGCGAGCGUUGUCCGGAUUUAUUGGGCGUAAAGGGCUCGUAGGUGGUUGAUCGCGUCGGAAGUGUAAUCUUGGGGCUUAACCCUGAGCGUGCUUUCGAUACGGGUUGACUUGAGGAAGGUAGGGGAGAAUGGAAUUCCUGGUGGAGCGGUGGAAUGCGCAGAUAUCAGGAGGAACACCAGUGGCGAAGGCGGUUCUCUGGGCCUUUCCUGACGCUGAGGAGCGAAAGCGUGGGGAGCGAACAGGCUUAGAUACCCUGGUAGUCCACGCUGUAAACGGUGGGUACUAGGUGUGGGGUCCAUUCCACGGGUUCCGUGCCGUAGCUAACGCUUUAAGUACCCCGCCUGGGGAGUACGGCCGCAAGGCUAAAACUCAAAGGAAUUGACGGGGCCCCGCACAAGCGGCGGAGCAUGCGGAUUAAUUCGAUGCAACGCGUAGAACCUUACCUGGGUUUGACAUGGAUCGGGAGUGCUCAGAGAUGGGUGUGCCUCUUUUGGGGUCGGUUCACAGGUGGUGCAUGGCUGUCGUCAGCUCGUGCCGUGAGAUGUUGGGUUAAGUCCCGCAACGAGCGCAACCCUUGUUCACUGUUGCCAGCACGUUAUGGUGGGGACUCAGUGGAGACCGCCGGGGUCAACUCGGAGGAAGGUGGGGAUGACGUCAAGUCAUCAUGCCCCUUAUGUCCAGGGCUUCACGCAUGCUACAAUGGCUGGUACAGAGAGUGGCGAGCCUGUGAGGGUGAGCGAAUCUCGGAAAGCCGGUCUCAGUUCGGAUUGGGGUCUGCAACUCGACCUCAUGAAGUCGGAGUCGCUAGUAAUCGCAGAUCAGCAACGCUGCGGUGAAUACGUUCCCGGGGCU